CGCUAAACAGAGCUAAAACCCAGAGAAAGUCUUCAGCUGCCGUCCAACCCCAGAGGCCACAAAUUAAGGUGGUUUGUACAGAAGCCAAAGAACAGAGUGGGUCUCAAACAGCGGCAGCACGGGCUUAGGGUGGAGGAGAUAUAACGAAGACCCAGCACCUGUCAAAGGUACAUAGGUGUCAGCCCCAUCAUGUGUUAUGUCACUGUCUGGCUUCAAGGCCAU